GUUGAUCCUGCCAGUAGUCAUAUGCUUGUCUCAAAGAUUAAGCCAUGCAUGUCUCAGUACAAGCCAAAUUAAGGUGAAACCGCGAAAGGCUCAUUAAAUCAGUUAUGGUUCCUUAGAUCGUACCCACAAUUACUUGGAUAACUGUGGUAAUUCUAGAGCUAAUACAUGCAAACAGAGCUCCGACCGGAGACGGAAGGAGUGCUUUUAUUAGAUCAAAACCAAUCGGUGGCGGGUUCGCUCGUCAUCGUACAACUUGGUGACUCUGAAUAACUUUACGCUGAUCGCACGGUCAUCGCACCGGCGACGCAUCUUUCAAAUGUCUGCCUUAUCAACUGUCGAUGGUAGGUUCUGCGCCUACCAUGGUUGUAACGGGUAACGGGGAAUCAGGGUUCGAUUCCGGAGAGGGAGCCUGAGAAACGGCUACCACAUCCAAGGAAGGCAGCAGGCGCGCAAAUUACCCACUCCCGGCACGGGGAGGUAGUGACGAAAAAUAACGAUACGGGACUCAUCCGAGGCCCCGUAAUCGGAAUGAGUACACUCUAAACCCUUUAACGAGGAUCAAUUGGAGGGCAAGUCUGGUGCCAGCAGCCGCGGUAAUUCCAGCUCCAAUAGCGUAUAUUAAA
rnacentral:rRNA from 1 species